UCUGAGGCGGAACAAUUUCAUGCUGAAACCACCCCUCCCACUCACACCCCACUCUCCCAUCCAGGCAAUGUAUCUUCAUGACUGUCAAUGACUCUACGAUGGUGUCACUGGGAGCCUGGCCUGUAUCCGUGGGAAGUCCUCCUGACUGCAAGGAGCACCCAAGUGGGUAGAGGGCCAGGCUGGGUGGGCAUCCUCCUUUCCUUCUGAAGAACUAUGAGCAUCAGUGAGGACCAGAAGCAGAGCUUGAGCCACACCACCUCCAGGAAGCCCUCUUAGCUAUGCAAGGAGAGAAUCUCUCCAGACCCUUGGAUUUCAGCUGCUUCUGGUAUCCAUGGGAGCACCUGACAGCUGAGAACAUACAUCUGGGAAAUCAAAGCUGCUGAAAGAAAGCCUAACAAAACCAAGUACUGAGAUAUUUCACAAGAUUGAGGCAUUGGUUUAUUUACUAUUAUUAUUAUGCUAUUGUGUUGCUAUUAUUACGUAUGUUUCUACCCCACUUUGCUUCACAAAAGGCUUAUAAUGGGAAAGACUCAUUGAAUAGUGUUCUAUAGAAGAGGUUUAAUCUCAAAGUUCAGGUUAUUUGGUAUUUGCUGGGUGACACCAUUUCAAAACUAUCAAGGUUUAAUGUGAAAUUAAUUUAAGAUUUCAAUUAUCUGGUUUUCUUUUUAAACCUUGUAUUAAAAUAAAGUAUCAAUCAGAGUUACAGAUUUGAGUGUGCAUGUGUGUGCGUGUAUGCAUGUUUAAUUUCCAUUCCACAUUGUUCCAUAAAGGAUGUGAGGCCACAAGUACUAUAAUGUUGCAAGUUAGUGAGAAUGCCUAAACUACUAGUAAAGGCUUAUCUUUCAGUAGGGAUUCACCAGUUGUUGUCUGCCAUUUUUUCCGUUGAUGAAUAGAAUUUUGAUAAUAUGCCGUUUUAAUGUAAUUUCAACUUUUAUUUUAGAUCCAGGGGGUACACGUGCAGGUUUGUUAGCUGGGUAUAUUGCAUGAUGCUGGUGUUUGGGGUAUGACUGAUCCCAUCACCCAGGUAACUGAGCAUAAUGCCCAACAGUUUUUCAACCCUUGCUCCCCUCCCUCCUCAUUCUAGUAGUCUCCAUUUUCUAUUGCUGCCAUCUUUAGUCUAUGAAUACCCAAUACUUAGCUCCCACUUGUAAGUGAGAACGUGCAGUAUUUGGCUUUCUGCUCCUGCGUUGAUAACACAUUUGAAAUAUGCUUCUUCACCCUUAGAUGUUUCACUACUGGAGUUUUAUUGCCUUUCAGCAGCAACAGAGGAGAGUGGAGAUACAGACUUAGACAGAGGAGCAGACUCACUUCUGUGGUUCUUGCCUCAAAUUUUCUUUUGAAGGUUCUGAAAGCUCUGAAUAGUUAUCUGAUUUAUUCUAGGUACACUUGGGCCAGUGAAAUUCUAGGCUUUAAAACAGAAAGUUUUGGAAAGAGCUCAAUGAAGCUUUAUUUCUUGUAUAAUAAAUCCAUCUCAGCAAAGGGAGCUGGCCCUUACAUGGAACCCAGCAUAUACUGAGGCAAGCAAGAUUCACGAUCCUGAAGACAGAGCAGGAAAUCAGCUCAUUAAGCCUGUUAUCUUGCUUCUGACUCUGUCUUGCUCUCUGCAGUCUUCACUGUCUCAAGUGCUAUAUUGUGUGUGUGGUAUUUCAUUUUAAAAUUCUUCCAUUUGCUGCUGAUUGGUUGGUUUAAUAGAAAAAUAAAUAAAUAAAAUGUUUCAGUUGAGACAUUGUGAUGUAGUUGUAUAUACAAGUUAACUCUAAUCUAUUCUCCAAGAGGGGAGGCUAGAAUUUAAAAUACCGUGUUUGGGGGAUCCAGCAGUUAACUAUUGCUGGAGUUGGUUAACUUGGAUGAAGUAUCCUAGCCAGAGUCAACAUCUUCUAAGAUGGUCCACUUAGCAUUUAAAUAUAGUUAACUACAUCUAUGCCAGGAGGCUUACUAACAUAACAGAUAUUUAAAAGAGUUUCUAAUUGGUGAGGUGAGUAGAAAUCAAACCAGAUGAUUGGUUAGGGAUGUUACAGAGGAAACUCUGCCCUUACCUGAAUGAAGCAUAAGCAUUGGCAAGCCCAGCUUUCUGAAUACAAAUGGUGCAAGCUUGCAGUCUAGACCCCCAAGUUGGUUCUAUGUCCUCCACUUCACAGAGAACCCUGUACCUGACCCUGUACAAAGCUGGACACACCUGCCAUCAGAAUAUGCUUGCCCUAAAUUCAACUAAGCCUUUUAUGGGGAAUGCUGAACAGAAGACUCAAAGGUAAAAGAGGGCCCAAGGAUAAAGACUGGGACUUUCCUAGCUACAUGCCAUGUUUACGACUGUUUUUGAGACUCUUUGUGAAUAAAUGUCUAGGUAUUGUCAGAAUAUUUUCUGAAACCUCUUUUCAUUAUAAUAUGACUCCUGGUAGCCAGGUUGUGAAGGAAGGAAUAUAUUGAUUCCCCCAACGCUCCCUCGCUUCUGAUGGUUGGAGGCUAUUAAUAUUUACCAGAAAAAGUGUUAUAUUUGCCAACGUGAUUGUCUUGGGUAGAUUGCCGUGCCAUGCAAAUUUCAAAUUCAUGUUUUAAAAUGUAGAAAAAGAGUUACUUGCAAAUAUAGAGAAUUAAGCUAAAGAUGGUUAGCUUAAGGUUGUGGGGUUUUUUCUUUGAAUUUUGGGACUCCGAUUGCAUUCUGUAAAUGUUCCUCAAUGAAGGAACUGUUGGUGGGCCUUAUACUUGUCCCUGAACACCCUUUAACUGUGACUUCUAGGAUAAUUUCUGAACCCUUUUAAAUUCUGGGAACCUGAGAGUUGCCUGCCUAAGCAGUAGUUGUGCUCCUUCUGUGGCAUCUUCUUGUGAAACAUUGGAUUCUAAACUGGUUGCAGUGGAAACCCAGAGCCACUGAGGGAAGAGUGGAAGCCAGAUAGAGCGUCUCCUCCUUCUGUGCUGGCUGGGACAGGCAAUCUCUGCCCAGGGGUCAGGGAGAGGAACCCGGAUUUAUACCCGCAGGAUUUUGUUUGAGAUUUCAUGCCUAUCAAGUUCAUCCUCAAAGAACCCAAUGCCAUUCUGAUUUAUUAUUAUUAUUUGAAUGAGAGUCAACCACUGACUAAUUGUGUCUGGGAUAUGUCAGGCCGAAGCCUGCCUUAGGGCAAGAGGUUGGACAAGAUAAUUGGGACUGUGAGGAGGAAUUGAGAGACUUCCUGUGGAAGCAUUAGAGUAGAAGAAGGCAACACAAAAAUCUGGCAUCAAUAAUGGUCUUUCUUUUAUUCUCCUCUCAGGACAGUUUGGAAAGUUGGGAUCCUUGAAGAACCCCGUGGCCUAGCAGAUGAGCACCCUGCCUGUGGCUGCAGGGCAAUGCCACAGAGAAUCCCUAGGGGGCAGCGCUCAGGCACAGGUCUCAGUGAGAUUCUCAGAGGCAGAGCUGUGCAGGCAUCCAGGGAACACCAUCUCCUGUUUCUCACAUAAAGAUUACUGCACAGGCAAAGAUAAGGAACAUUUUCCUAAUAGUAAGAAGAUUUUGAAUCCAAGAAAGCAACAAACCAGAGCAGACUCAUUUGAAACAUGAACAGAGUGAUGUGGUCAAAGGAAUCCAAGACAAGUUUCACCAGGUUCCUAUUGUGAACACACUGGAUGUUUAUAUAAGAAUCUUAGUGUGCAGCAAUCAUAACUAGAUAAUAAUUAUGCUUGAGAUUUGGUCCUCAUUCCAUAUGUGGAUUCAGUCGUUUUCUGUCAUUUUGUCAUUUUCAUGGAAUCUGGUUUUACAGAACCAUCCAAUGUUUAUUACAGAGAAUGACCAUCCAUAAGCCUCUCCAUGCUUAUGGAAGUGACAGUUAUGGGGCCGCUGGCUAAAUAUGCCUUCCAGGUGUUUAUUUCUGGGUCUACAUCGUGCCCCUCACUCAUUAAUUUAACUCUAUCCAGAGAAUUCCUCUAUGGUCUUCAUCUGACUGGAAAGUAAAUCAUCAGUCACUUCAAAUAUUUCAAGCUUGGUUUUCUCUGACAUAAGUCAGUUCUCCUGAUUACAGUUCCUGGAAAAUAUUGUAGAGCCCUGCAGCAUUGCAGUAUUUCAACCUUCAUUUGAAUUGCCUGUGACCCAGAUGUGAGCUCGUGCUUCCAUAGUCUCAGAUGUCUGGGUGAAUCCACCAGUUCCACACCUGUGAACAUCCCUGUCCUUGAUUCUUGCUAAUUGUCAGGAAACUUGCACUCAUAAUCCCUCCUGCCUCUGGCUCCUGGGUCCAUAUGUACUGGCUCUGUAUCAGUCUCUCUCAACCCAUGUGUAAUACUCAGCCCUUUGUCAUUUUAUACAAGACAAUUCACUCUAAGCGUUUCAUGAGUAAUACCUUGUACAAGUAAUACCUUGGGAUGCAGAGUGAGAGUGUGUGGGUGGGUCAUGUUAUAUAGUUCAAGGCUUCCCAAGGUCCUCUAGGCUCUCUGUCCUCUCCCUCUUCCUUCCUUAUUUUCCCUGGGAGCUCCAUGACCUUCUCCCUCUAUCAGACAAAUUAGCCCAGUUCCCCUUAGCUCCUACCACUAAGUUGUCCAUCAAGGCCCUCAGCGGAACAAAGUGUGCUCUGUUUGACAAAAUCUAUGUUCCUUAGAAGAUAGUUAGACUAUAAAUAACAACAAAAGUUCAGGUGCACAUAUGUUUUAGUUGAUGAAAUCAAAUAUAAAUCUCUGCCUCCACUGAAAGAUAGCACAAUAUUGUGAGGAGGAACUGAAUUAGGAAUCAGCCUAUUCGUGUUUGAGGCCCAGCAGCAUCCUUCACUAGACAGGUGAAAAAGCCAGCAAUUCAUUUUCAGUCUCAGUUCAUCAUCUGAAGAGUGAAAAUGUUACAAAUAUUUUGAAUCAUUAUGCUGAUUAAAGGAAAUAACUUAUUCACAUGCACUCUGAAACAUUAGAGCAGCAUUUCUCAGGACUUUCUUAGUUUUAUGAUGACUGAGGGUGCUGCUGGCACCUUGGAGGAAGCGCCGGGGAUGCCAGGUGUCUGCCAAUGUGGAAAAAUUUUGUAUAACACAGCACUGCCAAAUUAUCAAUAAUAUACCCAUUGAGAAAUGCUACGUUUGAACACAGUAUAAACGAAAGGUACAUUACCUCUGACCUUCCGUCUUUUACACAAAAUGCUGAUGAGAUUUCUGCGUGGUGUAGAUAAUUCUUUUAAACAAUUUUCCUCAUUCUGGAUUAUUUUAGCCCAAUCUUUGUUCCAAGGUGAUAGUAUGUCUGUCUUCCAAUGAUGCUGCCAACAUUUUAAUUACAAUCUUGAGCUUUCUUCUCUACAGAGUGCUUCCAUUUACGGUAUCUUUGAUCUCUCAGUUGAAACUACAUUUUACCCUCCAGAAAACAAAAAGAAGAAAGACAAAUUAUGGGAUAAAGGCUGAAAAAAUUUUCCUCAUGGUGAAGGCAAGCAGUAUGAGGAAGCAGGCAAAUUUUGAAAACAGAUAACCCCCUUGAUUUAUUUGUUGGUAUAUGCAUGCUGAUUCUAGUUGCAGAAGGCAUAUAUGUUGGAAAAAGUUAUCCAUUUACGAUUUUUAAGAAAUGAUCUCCACUGGGCCUGAGUUCAACUCCAUACUAAAGAACCAUCAGAGUGAACAGGCAACCUACAGAAUGGGAGAAAAUUUUUGCAAUCUACUCAUCUGACAAAGGGCUAAUAGCCAGAAUCUACAAAGAACUCAAACAAAUUUACAAGAAAAAAACAAACAAC